AGGGAGAGAAAGCAAAAGUUCCUCAACACCAGAUUUCCUGUGACAGAAAAUGUACACCUAUUUUUUAUGUACUCAGACAUUACAGUGUGUGAAGAAAAACACAAAAGAAGCAACAGUUUUCCUUUCAUGAAAAAGAAAUCCAGGAAUAAGUGUGGUCAGACAAGACAAUGAAGGUGAGAUAAAACACUGAAUAGCUAUAUUAAGCAAGCUCCUACUUUGUUCAGUGUACAUAUGGGUCCCACUGGAAAAAGCAAAACAAAAAGCAAGUGGAAAGCUGUAAUUCAAUACACUGUUUGAAAAAAUGACCCCAGAUGUAAUGUUUCCUAGCAUCCAGAUAGUUCAACCAAUAUUACAAGACCAUUAAUGUCAUAGCUGUGUUUUAUUUUACUCAUAAUCCAAGAAAAGGGAAGGAGAAAAGAGAUUUGUCGCAGGUGUGUUCGGUAGAAAUUCUCUACAAAGGUGAAUGGCUGAUAUGCCAGGAGAUGGUCAGGCUUAAAUUUGUAACACUCCCUCUAGAAAUGCAGGGCUGGAUAAUGCCUGCACUGCCAACACCAUGCAGCAUGCUACACAUUUGGCACAACAGGUAAAAGAAAGAUUGUAUGUAAAGUGAUGCAGCUGAAGCAACAGUGGAACAGCAUUUUGGAAACUGCUUUCAGUGUAGGAAAUCAUAGGAUUUGAGUGACAGGACUGGAUCAACAGAAGGGCUUGGGGAAGAGGCAUGGAGAAGUUCCGUGUUUGGGUCUGGUUUGUUUGUUCAUCCCUUUCCCCCUCUGUUCAGUCAGCAGCACACAAGGCAAUCUGUCAUACAACAGAUUCUGCCUACAGUCUGGGUGGGAUUGCUAAGGGAAUGAGGUUCUUCCUCCUGGUCUGAUGACUGAGCAGAAAAGGAAAAGAAAGAAGUACUUUAAUCUGAAAGGAAAAGUUCAGCUUUGUGGGUUCCUGACAAGACAGUUUGCCACUUAAUUUGACCAAAACUCAUUGAUGAAAUUCUCCUGAGGCAUCUUUGAAUGCUGGAAGGGCUAUGUAAGGUAUCAAAUAGCAGUGACCACCUUCAGUCCUACAGUAUUGGCCCACCUGACUCAACAAAUGAGUGCCUCUUCUCUGGAUACAAACACCUCUUUUUCCCCUUUUGCAGAAAGAGCAUGGAAACACAUUAACUGAGCAUGGCCACACUUGAGGCAGGGUGUUGUCACCAGUCUCAUAUCUUCUUCCAGCUUGCAAUUGCACCAGUGUUAGCAGGUAUCAUCCAAGUCUUACCUGAGUACUUUGAGCACUUUGCUGUUCCUUGUCCUCAAAAGGUGACACCUGCAGAGGGUAGAGGUUUGGUUCUGCAUCUUACCUGAGUGCUUUCAUCCUCCAGCAGGUCCUCAGCACCAGAAUGGGACCAGAGCCUUCAUACCUUGACUUGUCUCAAUUAGCUGAGCAUAUAUGAUGCCACAGUUUGCUUUCCAGCUGCCUAUGAGAAAAGCAUGAUCACACUACAGUUUCAUGGAGGAGAAGAAUGUGGUACUGGAAAAAACCAAGAAGAACUCAGGGGUAACACUCAAAAGGCAAAUGUGUUACAGGAAACUUAGUAAGGGAGGGUUAUGUCACAAAACCCCCCAUGUUAGUAAAUAUUUUUAAAAUUAUUAUUUUGAUAUUUAAAUAUUGUAAUUGUUUUAGAAUAGUUAUGCCUACAAGUACUUAUUUAAUAUAUUGGUAUCCCUAUUAA